ACGGAAGGCAGCAGUCGGGAAUAUUGCGCAAUGGAGGGAACUCUGACGCAGUGACGCCGCGUAUAGGAAGAAGGUUUUCGGAUUGUAAACUAUUUUAGACAGGGAAGAAAUUGACAGUACCUGUAGAAUAAGCUCCGGCUAACUACGUGCCAGCAGCCGCGGUAAUACGUAGGGAGCAAGCGUUAUCCGGAUUUAUUGGGUGUAAAGGGUGCGUAGACGGGAAAUCAAGUUAGUUGUGAAAGCCCUCGGCUUAACUGAGGAACUGCAACUAAAACUAAUUUUCUUGAGUGCAGGAGAGGAAAGCGGAAUUCCUAGUGUAGCGGUGAAAUGCGUAGAUAUUAGGAGGAACACCAGUGGCGAAGGCGGCUUUCUGGACAAUAACUGACGUUGAGGCACGAAAGUGUGGGGAGCAAACAGGAUUAGAUACCCUGGUA
rnacentral:rRNA from 1 species